GCUACAAUACCGCUUUAGUUAAUAAUGAAAGUAAGAUGAAUAGAAAUGAGUUACUAGGUUAUUUAUCUUCCAAAACAUUUGAAGCUUUCUAUGUGUGAUUUAAUUUUGGGUACACUGAGUGUAUAUAUUGUGGAACCUUCUGGUGGAUAGUUGUUGGUACCUUUUGGCAGGAUCGCCAGUGGGUGGGUAACUCAGACUUGUGUGGGUGUCCAACACUGUUGAAUGAAUGGCGUAGCUAUCACUUAAGAGCCUACCACUCCAACCAUUUUGUCCAUUUUAACUUUGUUUUAGACUUUAGUGUUUACAACAAUGCUUCAAGUUCAGAUGCAAGGCCCGCCUUCAAGGGUGAUCGAAAAAGAUCAUGUCCAGAUGAACAGGUACUGUCGAAGAAGGCUCCAAGGUCUCGUCAUUUAGAAGAAUCACCACAACUAUAUAACCAUUGCUGUUUAGUACUUUGACACUUGACGGUAUAAGUUCACGUACAGUUGUGUUUUAUGAUUUCAAGAUACCGCCAACUGAAGCUGCAAAAUCUGAUUGCUUUUUUACUCUUUGUUUCCGGUAUAUGGUUGUUUGUUAGAAAAUACUCCACAAAAGUCGGACAACUUUGAAGAAUUGUCUCAAUUUUUUUUUUUUAAACUUUGUAUUGUGUGGAAAUUUACCUUCGUUAAAUGUACAUUUGGAGCAUUCGCCA